UACGUAGGGGGCAAGCGUUGUCCGGAAUCAUUGGGCGUAAAGAGCGUGUAGGCGGCCAGGUAGGUCUGCUGUGAAAACUCGAGGCUCAACCUCGAGACGUCGGCGGAAACCAUCUGGCUAGAGUCCGGAAGAGGAGAGUGGAAUUCCUGGUGUAGCGGUGAAAUGCGCAGAUAUCAGGAGGAACACCGGUGGCGAAGGCGGCUUGCUGGGCCUUACCUGACGCUGAGGAGCGAAAGCGUGGGGAGCGAACAGG
rnacentral:rRNA from 1 species